AAACAGUGGGGCCUGGUUCUGAUUCAAGCGUCUGUGUUACCCGUUGCUUGAAGGUUAUCGGAAUGAAACAUUGCAAACACGAAAUCCUUCCUUUGGCAACAGCUGAGGAUAAAAGGGAAGGAAAAGCCUCCUAGCUUGUAUAUGAAUGGAGCAUCCGGGGCCAAUUAAUUUUCAAGUAUCUGCAUGUUUAUUUAAAGAAAGACGCCACGACAGGCUACAGAUGCUGGAAUCCGGAGCAUCAAACAAUCUGUUGGAGGAACUCAGCAGGUCGAGUCGCAUGCGUGGAGUGAAAUGUGCAGUCGGUGCUUCGGGUCGAGAUUGAGUUCACGGAUAAUAUCUGACCUGCUGAUUUUCAAAUUCAGAUUUAAUUACUGUUGUAUUAUACAUGGAUACAACUGAACGAAACAGCGUUCCUCUGGGACCAAGGUACAAAACAUACGCAGCGCAUUCAAAAUAGCGAGCCAGAAAAAAAACAUGACCACGUAAAAAAGAACACAUAUAGUCCAAGACCCUGAGCAACAUGUCCCACAGAUAGAUUGUUCAGAUUCUUGGCCGCGGGCGGCCACUGCAAUCCUGCCUUACACCGAUUGAACACUGGAGGGCAGCACCAAUGGAGAGAGCAGCCUCAACCGAGCACGGACGCCACGCUACACCGCCCCCCAGUGUC